GACACGGUCCAAACUCCUACGGGAGGCAGCAGUGAGGAAUAUUGGUCAAUGGUCGCGAGACUGAACCAGCCAAGUAGCGUGCAGGAUGACGGCCCUAUGGGUUGUAAACUGCUUUUAUGCGGGGAUAAAUGACUUCACGUGUGAAGUUUUGUAGGUACCGCAUGAAUAAGGACCGGCUAAUUCCGUGCCAGCAGCCGCGGUAAUACGGAAGGUCCGGGCGUUAUCCGGAUUUAUUGGGUUUAAAGGGAGCGUAGGCCGGCUCUUAAGCGUGCCGUGAAAUGUCCGGGCUUAACCCGGGCACUGCGGCGCGAACUGGGAGCCUUGAGUGCGCGGAACGUAUGCGGAAUUCGUGGUGUAGCGGUGAAAUGCUUAGAUAUCACGAAGAACUCCGAUUGCGAAGGCAGCAUACGGCAGCGCUACUGACGCUGAAGCUCGAAGGCGCGGGUAUCGAACAGGAUUAGAUACCCUGGUAGUCCGCGCGGUAAACGAUGGAUGCCCGCUGUUGGCGAUAUACAGUCAGCGGCCAAGCGAAAGCGUUAAGCAUCCCACCUGGGGAGUACGCCGGCAACGGUGAAACUCAAAGGAAUUGACGGGGGCCCGCACAAGCGGAGGAACAUGUGGUUUAAUUCGAUGAUACGCGAGGAACCUUACCCGGGCUUGAACUGCCGGCGAAUGAUUCAGAGAUGAUGAAGUCCUUCGGGACGCCGGUGGAGGUGCUGCAUGGUUGUCGUCAGCUCGUGCCGUGAGGUGUCGGCUUAAGUGCCAUAACGAGCGCAACCCCUGUUCUCAGUUGCCAUCGGGUCAUGCCGGGCACUCUGUGAAGACUGCCUCCGUAAGGAGUGAGGAGGGUGGGGAUGACGUCAAAUCAGCACGGCCCUUACGUCCGGGGCUACACACGUGUUACAAUGGGUGAUACAGAGAGUCGGGGACCGGCAACGUUCCUCUAAUCUUUAAAGUCAUCCUCAGUUCGGACUGGGGUCUGCAACCCGACCCCACGAAGCUGGAUUCGCUAGUAAUCGCGCAUCAGCCAUGGCGCGGUGAAUACGUUCCCGGGCCUUGUACACACCGCCCGUCAAGCCAUGAAAGCCGGGGGCGCCUGAAGUCCGUGACCGCGAGGGUCGGCCUAGGGUGAAACCGGUGAUUGGGGCUAAGUCGUAACAAGGUAGCCGUACCGGAAGGUGCGGCUG
rnacentral:rRNA from 1 species